ACGCACGCUGGCGGCAUGCCUAACACAUGCAGGUCGCACGAAGGCUUCGGCCUUAGUGGCGCACGGGUGCGUAACGCGUGGGAAUCUGCCCUUUGGUUCGGAAUAACAGCUGGAAACGGCUGCUAAUACCGGAUGAUGACGAAAGUCCAAAGAUUUAUCGCCAGAGGAUGAGCCCGCGUUGGAUUAGGUAGUUGGUGGGGUAAAGGCCUACCAAGCCGACGAUCCAUAGCUGGUCUGAGAGGAUGAUCAGCCACACUGGGACUGAGACACGGCCCAGACUCCUACGGGAGGCAGCAGUGGGGAAUAUUGGACAAUGGGCGCAAGCCUGAUCCAGCAAUGCCGCGUGAGUGAUGAAGGCCCUAGGGUUGUAAAGCUCUUUUACCCGGGAAGAUAAUGACUGUACCGGGAGAAUAAGCCCCGGCUAACUCCGUG
rnacentral:rRNA from 1 species